rnacentral:rRNA from 1 species
UCCGGUUGAUCCUGCCGGACCCGACUGCUAUUUGGGUGAGGAUAAGCCAUGCGAGUUGAAUGGGAUACCUAAAUUUCCCAUGGCAAACUGCUCAGUAACACAUGAUCAACUUGCCCUAUAGAGAAAAAUAACCUCGGGAAACUGAGGAUAAUGUUUCAUAGCUGAAUUGGCUUGGAAAAGUUUUUCAGUAAAAGGGAUAAAAAAAAUGGUUUUUAUCUGCUAUAGGAUAGGAUCGUGUUCGAUUAUGGUUGUUGGUGAGGUAAUGGCUCACCAAGCCGAUAAUCGAUAGGGGCCGUGAGAGCGGGAGCCCCGAGAUGGGUACUGAGACAACGACCCAGGCCUUACGAGGCGCAGCAGGCGCGAAACCUCCGCAAUACACGAAAGUGUGACGGGGUUACCCAAAGUGUUCAUCAUUGAACUGUGGUAGGUGAGUAAUGUUCCCUACUAGAAAGGAGAGGGCAAGGCUGGUGCCAGCCGCCACGGUAGAACCAGCUCUUCAAGUGGUCGGGAUAAUUAUUGGGCUUAAAGUGUCCGUAGCCGGUUUAGUAAGUUCCUGGUAAAAUCGGGUAGCUUAACUAUCUAUAUGCUAGGAAUACUACUAUACUAGAGGGCGGGAGAGGUCCGAGGUACUACAGGGGUAGGGGUGAAAUCUUAUAAUCCUUGUAGGUCCACCAGUGGCGAAGGCGUCAGACUGGAACGCGCCUGACGGUGAGGGACGAAAGCCAGGGGAGCGAACCGGAUUAGAUACCCGGGUAGUCCUGGCCGUAAACGAUGCAUACUAGGUGAUGGUACGGCCAUGAGCCGUGUCAGUGCCGUAGGGAAACCGUUAAGUGUGCCGCCUGGGAAGUACGGUCGCAAGGCUAAAACUUAAAGGAAUUGGCGGGGGAGCACCACAAGGGGUGAAGCCUGCGGUUCAAUUGGAUUCAACGCCGGG